rnacentral:rRNA from 1 species
GAUGAACGCUGGCGGCGUGCCUAAUACAUGCAAGUCGAGCGAACGGACGAGAAGCUUGCUUCUCUGAUGUUAGCGGCGGACGGGUGAGUAACACGUGGAUAACCUACCUAUAAGACUGGGAUAACUUCGGGAAACCGGAGCUAAUACCGGAUAAUAUUUUGAACCGCAUGGUUCAAAAGUGAAAGACGGUCUUGCUGUCACUUAUAGAUGGAUCCGCGCUGCAUUAGCUAGUUGGUAAGGUAACGGCUUACCAAGGCAACGAUGCAUAGCCGACCUGAGAGGGUGAUCGGCCACACUGGAACUGAGACACGGUCCAGACUCCUACGGGAGGCAGCAGUAGGGAAUCUUCCGCAACGGGCGAAAGCCUGACGGAGCAACGCCGCGUGAGUGAUGAAGGUCUUCGGAUCGUAAAACUCUGUUAUUAGGGAAGAACAUAUGUGUAAGUAACUGUGCACAUCUUGACGGUACCUAAUCAGAAAGCCACGGCUAACUGCGUG